UACAGAGGUCCCAAGCGUUGUUCGGAAUUACUGGGCGUAAAGGGCUCGUAGGUGGCCAACUAAGUCAGACGUGAAAUCCCUCGGCUUAACCGGGGAACUGCGUCUGAUACUGGAUGGCUUGAGUUCGGGAGAGGGAUGCGGAAUUCCAGGUGUAGCGGUGAAAUGCGUAGAUAUCUGGAGGAACACCGGUGGCGAAGGCGGCAUCCUGGACCGACACUGACGCUGAUGAGCGAAAGCCAGGGGAGCAAACGGG
rnacentral:rRNA from 1 species